rnacentral:rRNA from 1 species
CCUACGGGUGGCAGCAGUGAGGAAUAUUGGUCAAUGGGCGAGAGCCUGAACCAGCCAAGUCGCGUGAAGGAUGACGGCCCUACGGGUUGUAAACUUCUUUUGUCAGGGAGCAAUUGGGUCCACGCGUGGGCUUAGCGAGAGUACCUGAAGAAAAAGCAUCGGCUAACUCCGUGCCAGCAGCCGCGGUAAUACGUAGGUGGCGAGCGUUGUCCGGAUUUACUGGGCGUAAAGGGAGCGUAGGCGGACUUUUAAGUGAGAUGUGAAAUACUCGGGCUCAACUUGAGUGCUGCAUUUCAAACUGGAAGUCUAGAGUGCAGGAGAGGAGAAUGGAAUGCCUGGUGUAGCGGUGAAAUGCGUAGAGAUUAGGAAGAACACCAGUGGCGAAGGCGAUUCUCUGGACUGUAACUGACGCUGAGGCUCGAAAGCGUGGGGAGCAAACAGGAUUAGAUACCCGUGUAGUC